rnacentral:lncRNA from 1 species
AUGGCGUUGCGACUCCCAGGGAAAAGCUGGGAGGCAAGCGGGGCGUGGGGAGGAAAGGCCAAGGCACACGGCGUGGGCGGCCCCUCACAGCCUUCCUCCGCCCCCUCCAUUCCGCACUGGUCGGGGGUGAAGGGGGGGAGCGGGGGGAGCCGCGCUGACGUCACUGCGGGCCGUGCCCGCCCGAGAAGGCGGCGCUGGGAGCCGCUCAGAGCCCAGAGAAGCGGCGCGCGGCCAGGAGCCCCCGCUCCGCCACUGCCGUGCCUGCCUCCCGCAGCUGUCUGCCAUGCGCUCGCCGGGGCAGGGGCGCCCGGAGAGCGGCGAGAGCUGGGCCUGAGCCCGGGAACGCGCCUGAUCAGGGGUGGCGGAGCCGCGGUCCCCACAGCCGCCCCACCCGCGCCGCUGCCUCGCUGGGGCCCGGGCCCCCUUCCUGGUCCGACAUACUCUGGAGUCAGAAGACAGCGAAAAGAGAAGCAGAAGCCCCGGUGGCAAGAGUCUGAAGCAGGAAGGAUGACUGUAGCCUGUGGAUUGUACUGCAGUAGGAAACUGUCCUAGCAAGGCUCCACCUUGCCCCAGCUUCAAG